AUUGAACGCUGGCGGCAGGCCUAACACAUGCAAGUCGAGCGAGCGGCGGAAGGGGGAGUAAUGUAUGGGGACUGCCCGAUAGAGGGGGAUAACUACUGGAAACGGUAGCUAAUACCGCAUACGAUCGGAUAACCCAUAUGGGGUUAGCUCGUAGGUGAGGUAAUGGCUCACCUAGGCGACGAUCCCUAGCUGGUCUGAGAGGAUGAUCAGCCACACUGGGACUGGGAAAGGGCCAAGACUCCUAGGGAGGCAGCAGGGGGGAAUAUUGCACAAUGGGCGCAAGCCUGAUGCAGCCAUGCCGGGUGUAUGAAGAGGGCCCUAGGGUUGAAAAGUACUUUCAGUCGGGAGGCGUUACCGACAGAAGAAGCACCGGCUAACUCCGUGCCAGCAGCCGCGUAAUAC
rnacentral:rRNA from 1 species